UCUAGUGCUAACCACAGACAUCCUUUCGACUUUUCACCAAUACGAAAAUUAAAGAGGAAUGUCAGGAGAACUCAUUCAGGAAAUUAAAACUCAACUUCGUUGCUUUAAUUGAACGAACGGAUCCGUGAAACGUUCCUGCACAAUCAGCCAUUAAAGGCCACGGUGAGCUCCCUUGAUCUCCCCAUAUCGACCCUCUCUUCCCCUAUAAUUAGGACCCCGGAAAGCACAACAUAUCUCACCAUCCCUAAGCCAGAAACCCCUCUCUGUAUCGCUCUCCUACGCGAGCAAUUGCUCGCCGGAGUUCAACAAUAGCAUCAAAGUCCGACAAGGAUUCCGUCGCGACCGAGCCGGAGCACGAGUUCUUCGUUGUCCGCUUUCGGCUGGAGUUGCGCCCAACUCCGGCGACAUCUAGCAGCCACCUGAAGGCGAACCAGGAGCCGACGUCGUGUUCUGGAGACUCACCCCGACUUCCUCUCCCUCGUUGCCGGAGAUCACCGCAUCACCUCACGUCCGAGCCGCCGCUGCCGGCCAUCUCCAUCUCCGAUUGCGACGAGUGCGAAGGUGAAUUCCACGAGGAGGUAGAACCUUGUGACUACGAAACUGAAGGCA